UCAUCUACCCUCACAUACACAUACACACACUCACCCACUCAAUCUCUCAAACAAACACACCCACACUGAAUCCUUCACACGCUCAAACAAACACCGGUCCACGCUCGUCCAGACUGAAUCUCACACACACAUUCAUACUCACACUCAAUCACACACACACACAACAGCCUCACCAACCCACUCGACAUCUCACACUCAAAUGCACCCCGCACAUAUCGAUCCACUCACUCGUCCACACUAAAGCCUCUCUCACACACACACACACAAACACAAACACACUUCCAUUCAAUCGCAAGACCGACGGUCAACGCGUUAACGAGAGACUGUGACGAGGAGUCUGUGACGAGGAGAGGAGAGCGUCAUGACCCCGGGGACAGAGACGCUGCUCUUAUCACAACUACUGGCUCUUGUGUAGGACACAGCGGGAUCAGAAACGUCAACAACAACAACAAGCACAACAACUGGGCGUGGGCGAGUGAAUGAAACGUCGCGAGUUCGGCUAUCUUGGGGUUGCAAGUGUGAACUGGGCAAGAGCUGGACUGGGUAGGAGUCGUGGGGAGUUGGUGGUGAGGAGAGACGGGGCAGCGUCAUGCACCAGUGGAGGAGCAUUCUGGUGCUGGGUGGAAUGAUCCUCGUGGUGUGUUAUGCACUGCAGGAGCUGUCAGCCGGUGACUCCAUUCUGCGUGGAUGUUCUCUGCAGGU